AGUGAACGCUGGCGGUAGGCCUAACACAUGCAAGUCGAACGGCAGCACAGUAAGAGCUUGCUCUUACGGGUGGCGAGUGGCGGACGGGUGAGGAAUACAUCGGAAUCUACUUUUUCGUGGGGGAUAACGUAGGGAAACUUACGCUAAUACCGCAUACGACCUACGGGUGAAAGCAGGGGAUCUUCGGACCUUGCGCGAUUGAAUGAGCCGAUGUCGGCUUAGCUAGUUGGCGGGGUAAAGGCCCACCAAGGCGACGAUCCGUAGCUGGUCUGAGAGGAUGAUCAGCCACACUGGAACUGAGACACGGUCCAGACUCCUACGGGAGGCAGCAGUGGGGAAUAUUGGACAAUGGGCGCAAGCCUGAUCCAGCCAUACUGCGUGGGUGAAGAAGGCCUUCGGGUUGUAAAGCCCUUUUGUUGGGAAAGAAAAGCAGCAGGUUAAUACCCCGCUGUUCUGACGGUACCCAAAGAAUAAGCACCGGCUAACUUCGUG
rnacentral:rRNA from 1 species